AGAAAAGGAAGGGUCAGGAAUGGCUCCAAGAAGUGGCGCCUGAGCAAGGGCAAGGUACAAGGGUGAAAAGUCUCCAGCUUUGCAGAACUGCUAACAGAUAAAUAUUUAAUAGAAAAGAGCACUGGGCUGAAAGUCAGGGCAACAUUCUGCCUGGUCUUGCCUAAGACUCAUUUUCAACAAGACACUCCAUGCAGCCCAAAUCAACUGAGCACAAGAUAAAACAUAUUGCUCUCUUUCCCUGGAGCAAAUCCCACUGUGUAUAACCAUUGCCCAAGAUAUAAUAGCUCACAUCAAGUUCCAUGCACACUAGAAACACUGUGGAAGACAGGGGCUGGCACCGAAGGACAAGGGACUGCAUGGCAGUGGCCUGGAGAGAAGAGAAGAGUCACAUGCUGUUCUGGAUGACAAGGACAAAUCCCCUACCCAACUGUGGCUUAACCAAACUCUACCCUGGGCACAUUUCAGAGCAAGGAGAGGCGAUUCCUCUCGAAUGCAACUAAAUGACCUAUUCUGGACAUCCCCAAAAUAAAC